AUUAUGCUCUUACAGUGUUUUCUGGAGUGUUAUCUAGGACACUGUUUCCCGAACUUUUUCCUUCUGUGGCACACUUUCCAAAUUUACAGAAUGUCAUGGCACACGACUCUCAAAAGCAUAAAAAAUAAACACCAUUACCAACAUAAAAAUUUUUUUAAAUUAAUUUUUCACACGGCACACCUGACCUCAGCUGACGGCACACCAGAGUGCCGCGGCACACCGGUUGGGAAACGCUGAUCUAAGAAGUAGACAGAACGAAACAUCAGGCUGUAAUUUGUGACCCUGGUGGUUUCAGAAGAUGACACGGGGAGAGCUGGAAAUGAUUGUGGAUGCAGCAGCGCCCUGCACCAGCUACAGAUUAAGCCUCUGCACUCCUGUCCUCAUGUUCCCCCAAGGCUUAGCCGUUAGGCUGUGGAAAGCUUUCCUGGGAUCUUCAGAAAGAGCAACUAACAAGCCUUCAUUUGCCACUGGAGAUUAGAGCAGGGUUUCUUCUCACCCUCUAUACAAUAUUAUCUGUUGUUACAUGGAAAAACUAUUUAACAGCCAUUUAACUGAGGGAAAUUGAGAGGCAAAAUGUGUUCAGAAGAAAUAAAAUAUUAAUUUGGAAUGAUAACCAAUUAAGACUGAAAUUAUAAUAUCUGGGUUUAGCAUUGUUGGAAUCAAAAUAAAGAAGUAGCGAUUCAAUAGCUUGUUUUUAUUUUUAUGGCUAUCAUUCAUUUUCCAAAUCACUUGUCAUUAUUAAAAGGAAAACCUUCUAUGAACUUAAAUUAAAGCAGGGACGGUUGUUACCGAAUAUGGGCUGUCUUCUUAAUUUCUGCAGAAUGGCAAUGCAUUAGUAUGCACGCAUCCUAGGUUAUGCAGCAUACCUUACAUCACAAACAAAAUUGUGU